rnacentral:rRNA from 1 species
CCUACGGGUGGCAGCAGUGGGGAAUAUUGCACAAUGGGGGAAACCCUGAUGCAGCAACGCCGCGUGAAGGAAGACGGUUUUCGGAUUGUAAACUUCUGUUCUUAGUGAAGAAUAAUGACGGUAGCUAAGGAGCAAGCCCCGGCUAACUACGUGACCGCAGCGGCGGUAAUACGUAGGUGGCAAGCGUUGUCCGGAAUUACUGGGUGAAACGGGAGCGCAGGCGGGAAGCAAAGUCAGCUGUAAAAACUACGGCUUAACUUGUAGACUGCAGUUGAAACUGGUUUUCUUGAGUGAAGUAGAGGUUGGCGGAAUUCCGAGUGUAGCGGUGAAAUGCGUAGAUAUUCGGAGGAACACCGGUGGCGAAGGCGGCCAACUGGGCUUUAACUGACGCUGAGGCUCGAAAGUGUGGGGAGCAAACAGGAUUAGAUACCCGAGUAGUC